rnacentral:rRNA from 1 species
CAAUCAAUUCUCUAGAAUUAAAAAAGAAAUUGAAGAAACGAAAGCGAAUAAGGGCGUAUGGUGGAUGCCUUGGCAUUCAGAGGCGAAGAAGGACGUGAUAAGCUGCGAUAAGCUACGGGGAGGCGCAAAUGACUUGUGAUCCGUAGAUUUCCGAAUGGGGAAACCCAUCCCGUUGAAGACGGGAUACCCGAAAGGGGGCGAACCCGGGGAACUGAAACAUCUAAGUACCCGGAGGAAGAGAAAACAAUUCAGUGAUUUCCUAAGUAGUGGCGAGCGAACGGGAAAUAGCCCAAACUCAAGUGGCGUGCUGCUUGAGGGUUGUAGGACUGUAACGUGGAAUACAUAAAUAUAAUGGAAUUGCAUCUGGAAAGUUGCUCCAUAGAAGGUGAUAGUCCUGUACAUGAAAUAUUUAUGUUACCUAACAGUAUCCUGAGUACCGCGGGACCGGAGAAAUCCUGUGGGAAUCUGCCAGCACCAUCUGGUAAGGCUAAAUACUACUGAAUGACCGAUAGUGAACAAGU